GACUGGAAAGCGGUUGGUCUUUCAUUCGGGAGAAGCUGGAGAGAGAAGCUUAUUACUAUUAAAACUUCUAUGGAGAUCACAUGAAGAGGGAAGCGGAGGAUCUUUUUAUGUGUAAUAUUUGUAUGGAGCCACCAUAUGUGAAGCUCGGAUGGAAAGAUUCUGACAGAGGACUGAUUGGUUCCAACACUGAUUUCUGAGAAGAUUGGACUGAGAAAUUCAAAAGAAACAGAAGACAGAAUAAACCCCUGCUCACAAGAGGUUUACAGUCCCCUCUUGUAAAGAUCCACUUGAAUAAACACAAUUUGCAGAUGA